UUGGUUUUUGGUAGGCUUUUGCUUUUAAGCGCUCUUUGUUUUGCAUCUCCCUUCAAAAUCUGAAAAACCACCCUCUCUUUUUUCUCCCUCUCUCGAUCGCGCCGAGAUAUUCAAACUCUUCCACCGCCUCUCUCCGGCCGACAACCGAAUCAAAACCUCAAUCAUCACCCAAUCCCUAACCGACCUAGGGUUGCUUCUUCAGCUCACCCUUUCAACCUCUCCACUGCAAUCCACCAAUCAGGUUGUCAUCAACCUCUUUCAGCUUGAUGCAGAAAUUAUUUCGCAAAGCUUGUAAAAAUGAUUACAUUAGAAAACAUUCUAAAAGUGCAAGUACCUACCAAGCACUAGAGUCAUUAAGCAGAAUGAAUGGAUUAAUGGAGAAGCCAACAAAGUUUGCUCUUUGUAAUGCACUUAGUUCUUGUGCUAAAACCCUGAAUUGGCAUUUGGGCAUACAAAUUCAUGCAUGUCUGAUUCGAUCUGGAUAUGAAGAUAACCUGUUCCUAAGUAGCGCACUUGUUGAUUUCUAUGCAAAAUGUUUUGCAAUUGUGUAUGCAAGGAAGAUAUUUAGGGCCAUGAAAAUACAUGAUCAGGUUUCGUGGACUUCACUUAUUGCUGGAUUUUCAGCAAACAAACAAGGAAGAGAUGCCCUCUUGUUGUUCAAAGAGAUGUUAGGAACUAAAAUCCGGCCCAACUGUUUUACCUUGACUAGUGUCAUUAAUGCAUGUGUGGGGCAAAAUGGAGCCCUUGAACAUUGUCCAAGUCUUCAUGUUCAUGUCAUCAAACGGGGAUUUGAUACUAGCAAUUUUGUGAUCAGCUCAUUAAUUGAUUGUUAUGCGUAUUGGGGACAAAUUCACGAUGCUCUAUUAUUAUUUAAUGAAGUUAAUGAAAAGGAUAUUGUUAUAUACAAUACAAUGAUCUCUGGAUUUUGUCAAAACCUGUAUAGUGAAGAUGCACUGAAACUAUUUGUUGAAAUGCAGGAAAAAAAUAUGAGUCCUACUGAUCAUACUUUAUGUUCCAUUUUAAGUGCUUGCAGCAGCCUUGCAGUGCUUCUUCAAGGAAAACAAGUGCACUCUCUGGUUAUUAAAAUAGGUUCUGAAAGGAAUGUGUUUGUGGCCAGUGCUCUGAUUGAUAUGUAUUCAAAGGGUGGUGACAUUGAUGCAGCUCGAUGUGUGUUAGAUCAGACUUCUAAUAGGAACACUGUGUUGUGGACAUCCAUGAUCAUGGGCUAUGCUCAAUGUGGGAGAGGCUUAGAGGCAUUGGAACUUUUUGAUUGUUUAUUAACCAAACAAGAGUUAAUUCCUGAUCAAGUCUGCUUUACUGCUGUCUUAACAGCUUGUAAUCAUGCAGGAUUUAUUGACAAAGGAGAGGAAUAUUUCAACAAAAUGAGAACAAGUUAUGGGUUGUCUCCUGAUAUAGAUCAGUAUGCUUGCUUGAUUGAUCUUUAUGCUAGAAAUGGAAAUCUAAGGAAGGCAAGGGAUUUAAUUGAGGAAAUGCCUUAUGGUCCAAAUUGUAUAAUUUGGAGUUCUGUCUUGAGUGCUUGCAAGAUUUAUGGAGAUGUAGAGCUUGGAAGAGAGGCUGCUAAUCAGCUCAUUAAGAUGGAACCAUGUAAUGCAGCUCCAUAUUUAACUCUAGCACAUAUCUAUGCAAGAAAAGGUUUAUGGAAUGAAGCAUCUGAAGUUAGAAGCCUUAUGCAACAAAGGAUUAAAAGAAAACCUGCAGGAUGGAGUUGGGUAGAGAUCCCAAGGAUUUGUUCUAUCUACAGCUUGCCUUGCAGAUAAUGCCAUCAAGGUGAUUGUAAAGCUAGUAACAAGACUAGUGAAACAUAAGGCUCAGCUCGUUUAAAAAAGUUUUCGCCAGAAACCUAGUUGUUACUUUCUAAAUUUUUUCUCUAGUUGUUAUGCCAAUAACCUUCAGAAUUAUACUCACUUUAUCACUCACCUAUAAAUGGCCAGUUCAACAAAUUGUCAUUAACAAUGUCUUCCUCAACGGAUUUCUCGAGGAGGAAGUGUAUAUGCGCCAAAUUCUAGCAUCAAGUUUUCUGACACUAAACCAGUUUCUAAGCUACCAAAGGCCAUUAAAUGUCUCAAAAAGUACUGAUUGCUUGAUACUAGAGACUUAAACUUUACUGGUCUAUGGGUUUGUUUCAAGUAAAUGGGACCCCUCUGUGCUCAUCCUCAAGACUCCUAGUUACUGCCUAUAUGCUUUAAUCUAUAUUAUGGAUUUGAUCAACAUGUGAUGCAGAGCAGGCUAAAUAGUGUGUUUGAUCUUAAAGCAACUGGUUGAAUUGGAUUACUUCCUUGGCAGAGGUGAAGCAGAGUAUGCAAGUGUAGCUCGGAUAGAAAUCAGGCAUACUGUGAAUGAGUUUCGUCAGUUUAUGGCACAGCCUCUGGAUGAACCUUGACAAGCUAUCAAACACAGCCAGCUAUUUAUGGUCUUCUGUUUCAGCCAGCUUCUCCCAGUUCUUGGUUCCCUUUGUCGGCCUUCUGUGAUGCCAUUAAGGUUAAUGCCAUAUAUCUUUUGUUUGAGCUUCACGUCCAUUUAUAAUGCGUCCCUAAUUUGGUGCAUUUCAUUUGGAUCAGUCACAGUCAUCUCAGUCAACUACUGGUGUAGAUUUAAGCCGCUCUAAUGCUUAUGAUCACGCUAGACAGUUAGCGUCCGAAAUCCCUUCCAAAAGCUACCCGUCUUCAGAUGGGCAAAGCAG